UUGUGGAAGAUUGAGAGGUCCGGUUCCAGAGGAUCCGCAUCAGUUUGGAUCCUCUCCAUUUAUUUUAAGGAUGCAGGUAUCCUCGACCCACUCACUGUCCAAGCAGUGGUGGGGUCAGUGUGAUGAAGUGGGGUCCACAUCAAUUAACAGCUACUUCUGUCGGAAUAGUAUGGUUUCGAUUAGAUGUCCAACUGGAUCGGAUCCUCACCUAGCGGUUACGACGCCCGUUACCUUUACCUAUAUAUUCCUUCUUUUGCCAUCGCGCCCUCGCUCCUCGAUCAGACAGGUUCCACUAGGGUUCGAAGAGGCAGAGUGAGUCGAUUGGUGGAGUUCUUGCUGCGGCGAUGAGCGGCGCGGCCGCUUCGGUAUGGGAGGGUGUGGACGGGCGAUGGACGUCGAGGCGAUUCUUGGGAAGGUCACCGACCGACGAGGGUUCGGAGACGCCUUCGCCGCCGAGGUUUGCUCGGAAACGAGCACUGCUUGUUCCAGGAGUUUGUGGAUAUAUGCCAAGAUUCGAUACAGUUGCAGGGAUAUAGUUGAUACUUAUCUAUAAAUUGAAGGUAUGAUACACUGGUAAUGCUUUCAUCAUUUUGUGUAUUAGUGAUAAUUUAGAAUUAUCUAUAAAUUUAGAAUCAUUUUGUGUAUUAGUGAUACUUAUCUAAUACACUUGAGUAUUAGUGAUAAUUUAGAAUCAUCUACCAGUAAUGCUCUCAUCAUUUUGUGGAAAUUGAUUACAGCUCUUUCUCUUUCUUGUUAUCUGAAUAGUAGCAAAGAGCAGUCAGCACGUGCUUACUCUGCCCUGCAUGUAUGUAUGUUAUGUCUGAAAGUGUACUAAACACAACUCAACGCCCAUUUAUAUGUUGAUUUAUCUAAUUCAUAGUUCUUUAGGCUACCAACUUGAGGUUUUUUUUGUUUUUGUCUUUCUGCUCCCUAUUCUACGUGAUGGGGCCAAUGCUGUUGUUGAUUAAUAUGAACAGAUUUUAUACGAUGCUAAAUCAGCGCAAACAGGAAGUUAUGUUUCUAUGAAAUACUAUGUUUGAAGAUAAAUCAGAUGAGAUGACAUUCGAAAUUCCUGA